rnacentral:rRNA from 1 species
GGACGAACGCUGGCGGCGUGCCUAACACAUGCAAGUCAACGAGAAAAGGGUAGCAAUAUCCUGAGUAAAGUGGCGCACGGGUGAGUAACACGUAGGUAAUCUGCCAUUAGGACGGGGACAACCACGCGAAAGCGUGGCUAAUACCCGAUGAAUCAGCGGCGCCGCAUGGCGUUGUUGUUAAAUACCGCAAGGUGCCUGGUGAUGAACCUGCGUCCCAUUAGGUAGUUGGUGAGGUAACGGCUCACCAAGCCGACGAUGGGUAGCUGGUCUGAGAGGAUGAUCAGCCACACUGGAACUGAGACACGGUCCAGACUCCUACGGGAGGCAGCAGUGAGGAAUAUUGCGCAAUGGCCGAAAGGCUGACGCAGCGACGCCGCGUGAAGGAUGAAGUCCGUUAGGAUGU